rfam:Neurospora crassa OR74A unplaced genomic scaffold supercont12.8, whole genome shotgun sequence.
UAACCUCGGAUUAAGUAGGAAUACUUACUAAAUUUAAAUAUAUUAAUAAAUAAAAGAAAAGAAACUAAUAGGGAUUGCCCUAAUAAUAGCGAAUAAAGUAGUAAUAGCUCAAAUUUAAAAUUUAGCUUCGGCCCGAAUUAUAAUUUAUAGAAGAAACUUUUAGUAAGGCACCUUCUAAAUCCCUUAGAACGGGGCGCUAUAAAAGGUAAGAACCCCGUAUAGUUAAAUAUUAAUUUAAUAUAAAGCUUCUUCAACGAAUCGAAUAAUUUAGGAAUAUUAUUUAAAAUAGGAGGUAAAUUUCUUUUAAAGCUAAAUACCGGCUAGAGAUUAAUAGUAUACAAGUAGAGUAAUUGAAAGAUGAAAAGCACUUUAAAAAGAGGGUUAAAUAGUAUAUAAAAUUAUUAAAAAGGAAGCGUUUAUAAUUAAAUUUGCGCUAUUCCGAUUAUCCGGUGUUCUUACUAGUAUAUUUAGGACGGUUUAAACUAAUAUUAGUUUUAGUAAGGGAAUAAAAGUUUAAAGAAUAUAGUUCCUCUAAGAGUAUUAUAGCCCCGGGUAUAAUACCCUUACUAGGAUUGAGGUUCGCGUAUUUAUAAAAAUGCUAGUAUAAUAGUUAUUAACAACCCGUCUUAAAAUACGGACUAAGGAAUUAAAGUUUUAUGCGAAUAUUUAAGUAUAAAACCCGCACGCGUAAUAAAAGUGAAUAUAAGUAAGAGUUUCGGCGUAUUAUCGACCAAUCCUAAUAUAUUUAGAUAGAUUUAAAUAAGAGUAUUAAACCUUAGACCCGAAAGAUAGUAAACUAUAUUUAAAUAGGGUGAAGUUAGAGGAAAUUCUAAUAGAAGUUUAUAGCAGUUUUAACGUAUAAAUCGAUUAUUAAAUCUAAAUAUAGGGGCGAAAAAUUAAUCGAACUAUCUAGUAACUAAUUACUACCGAAAUUUCCCUUAAGAUAAUAAUAUUAUUCUUUAAUUUUAUAAAGUAAAACGAAUAAUUAGGGACUCGGGGGCACUUUUUAGCCUUUAUCUAUUCUUAAACUUUAAAUAUAUAAGAAACUUUUAUUAUUUAAUUGAACGUAGGUAUUCAAAUAUACUAACACUAGUAGACUAUUUUUAGUAAAUAAAAUUAGCAAUAUAGAAUAAACCGAACGUAGAGUUAAAGUAUUGGAAUAAACGUUUAUUAAAUACUAUAAAAAAUAUUAGUAUAUUUUAAUAGUAGGACGGUAGCUAUAGAAGUCGGAAUCCGCUAAAAAUUAUAUAACAAUUUACUUACCGAAUAUAUUAGCCCUAAAAAUAAAUAAUAUUUAAACAUCCUACCUAUACUCCGCCCUUAGGGUAGAAAUAAUACUUUAAGGAGUAGGCGGUUAUAAAGGUUAGUAACGAAGCUUAAGGCGUAAGCCUAGGUUGAACGGCCUCUAAUAUAGAUUUUAAUAAUAAUAAUAAAUACUUUAAUAAGAAUUUGAAGGACCGAAGUAAGGAAAGGUUCUAUAUAAAUAGCAGUUAGAUAUAGGUUAAUCGAUCUUAAGCUAUAGGGAAAUUCCGUUUCAAAGGGGCACUUAUACCCUAUAUAGUAAAAGGGAAAUUAAUUAAUAUUUUAGUACUUAAAUAUAGGUUUUACACAAUAACGCAACUAAAUGUAGAAAUAACGGCGGGGGCCCCGGGCAAAAUUCUUUUUUCUUUUUAAUAAUUUAUUACUUUAAAAAUAAUUUAUUUAGAAAUAGGGUUUAAUAGCUAGAAGAGCCCAAUACUUCUAUCGGGUCUAAUACACUCUCAACGUCCCUUAAAAAUCUAUAGGAAGGAAUAAUUCUUACGCUAAAUUAUACUUAUAACCGUAGUAGGUCUCUAAGGUAAAUAGCUUUUAAUUAAUAGAAUAAUAUAAAUAAAAGAAGUUAAUAAAAUAGAUCUAUAACUUUAAAAAAAGGAUUAACUCUAAGGGUUGGGUAUAUUAGGCUUUAAGUAAAUGCCCUAAGAGUAAAUCGCUAUUAAUUAGGUAACUAGCCGGCGGCUUUCAAUAUCCAGGUAUAGAAGCUUUUAAUAGACUUCAGUUAUCCGGCGUAUAUUUAAUAACUAAUUUAGAAUUAGUACAAAUAGGAGGAAUCUAACUAUCUAAUUAAAAUAUAGUAUUACAAUAGCUAGAAAGUAGUAUUAAUAUAAUAUAAUUUCUAUUUAGUAUUUUAAAUAUUAAAGUAAAGAAAUUUAAUUAAAUACAAAUAAAUAGUAGGAGUAACUAUAACUCUCUUAAAGUAGCCAAAUACUUUAUUAUUUAAUUAGUAAUACAUAUAAAUAAAUUAAUAAGAUUCCUACUAUCCCUAUCUACUAUCUAACGAAACUAUAGCUAAGGGAAUAGACUUAGUAGAAUCAGCGGAGAAAAAAGACCUUAUUAAAUUUAAUUCUAAUUUAAUAUUAUAAAAAGAUAUAGGAGGUAUAGAAUAAGUAAGAGCUUCGGCGCCGGUAAAAUACUACUACUCCUAUUGUUUUUUUACUUAUUUAAUUAAGUAGGGCUGGAUUUUCGUUUAACUUCUAAUUUUAAAGUCCUUUACAAGCCGACCCGGGUUAAAAAUAUUAUUAAGUAGGGAAUUUAGCUAGGGUAGUACAUUUAUUAAACUAUAAUGUAAGUAUCCUAAAAGGGGCUUAUAAAGAACAGAAAUCUCUAAUAGAAUAAAAGGGUAAAAGUCCCCUUAAUUUUAAUUUUUAGUAUAAAUACAAACUAUAAAAGUAUAACCUAUCGAUCCUUUAGUCCCUCGAAAUUUGAAGCUAGAAGUACUAGAAAAAUUACUAUAAGGAUAAUUAGCUUAUAGCAGCUAAAUGUUUAUAGCAACAUCGCUUUUUAAUCCUUCAAUAUCGGCUCUUCCUAUUAUACUGAAGUAGAAUUCAAUAAAUGUUAAAUUAUUUACCUACUAAUAAGGAACGUAAAUUAGAUUUAAAUUAUUAUAAAAUAAAUUAAUUUUACUUUAUUAAUAACUUUAUUAUAAUAGUAAUUAAACUUAGUAUAAGAGGAACUAUUUAUUUAGAUAAUUAGUUUUUACAAUUAUUCGACCGGGUAGUACCGCAACGCUACUAUCUAUUAAAUAAUAACUAAACGCCUCUAAAUUAGAAUUUAUAUUAGAAUGUAAUAAUACUUCUAGUAUAUUAUAAAUAUAUAAGAAUAAACUCCAGCCUUAUAUUUUAAUAAACAAUUCCUCUAUUAGCUUUAAAGUAGCCAGUAGUAAUUCGUAUAUUAUAAUUUUAAUAUAUAUUAAAUUAAAUUCUUUACAAAUAAUUUAAAUAUAUAAAAGGGUUUUAUAAAUAGUAAAGUAACUUUAUUAUUACAAUUUACUAAAGGUAAGCCCUCCUUCGCCUAAAUUUCC